GAUUUCUCAAACACUGAAAACGCCCCUCUCUCAAACUUCUCUCUUCUUCACAGCACAUCUCUCAAACCAAAACCACUGAACUGAAAAAUCCAGCGCCAAAUCCAACAUCAAUCUCUUCUAUUCGUUCACUAUACUGCUGGCGAAGACAGAGGCUAGGUGGAAGACGGAGGUCUGC